AUACGUAGGUGGCGAGCGUUGUCCGGAAUUAUUGGGCGUAAAGGGCGCGUAGGCGGAGUGCCAAGUCUGAUGUGAAACCCCUGGGCUCAACCGAGGGAUGGCAUUGGAAACUGGUAUUCUUGAGUGCGGGAGAGGAGAGCGGAAUUCCCAGUGUAGCGGUGAAAUGCGUAGAGAUUGGGAGGAACACCAGUGGCGAAGGCGGCUCUCUGGACUGUAACUGACGCUGAGGCGCGAAAGCUGGGGGAGCGAACGGGAUUAGAUACCCCGGUAGUCCCAGCCGUAAACGAUGAGCACUAGGUGUGGGGGGUUUCGACGCCCUCCGUGCCGGAGUUAACGCAAUAAGUGCUCCGCCUGGGGAGUACGGCCGCAAGGCUGAA
rnacentral:rRNA from 1 species